CUCCGCGCGCCGCCGACAGGUGGCGCCGUGCCCACUCGCUGCCUCCGUCGCCGGCGGGCGCUGGGGUGGGCCCUCGCGGGGCCUCCCGCGCCUCGGGAGGCGCUGCGGGCCGUGGGCCGUUGCCUUCGAGGGCUGUGUGAUGAGCGCGCGAGACCACUGGGGCGACUAUUACUGGGGGCUUCCUUUUUCUUUCCCUUUUUUUAAGACUAACGUUACUUAUACCAGUAUAGCGCGCAUGCUCUACUUUUCAAAGGGCUUUCCCAUCCAUUAUCUCAAAUAAUCCUCAAGAUAAGCUUAUAAAUCAAGAAUCAGAAUCAUUACCCUACGUUACAAGAAGUAAACGGAAGCUCGAAGCGAUGGCACACGAAGUCUUCCAACCAAGCAAUUCUAGCGUAUGUUUGCAAAUCUGUGAGUGUAGUUGACAUACAGAGAUACAAUAGACAUCAUAUAGAAAGCGACCCGCGCAAUGCCUGGCAUCUGAUAAGCAAGCAGUAAAUGGCAACAUUAUUAUUGAUCAAGAACAUUGUGAUGUUUUCGAAUAUGUCUGGAUGAACAAUGUUACCAUCACGAAAACUGGGACAACCUACCCUACAUGCACACCAAUACGAUGCAGUGACAUGACCCUCAUCAAAUGCCUGAUUGCUCACACUCUCUACAAGCCUGGCUUAGGUGGGUGCCCUACUCCCAUCUGUACCACCCGUCCUGAAAUGAGACACGACUGUUUAACUGGACUGAACUCUUCCCCAGACUGAGAGACUGAUUCAACGAGAUUUGGGGUGAUAUCCUUAGAUUUGUUCUUUUCUCCUUAUUCUUGUUUCAGUCUGUAUUCUUUUUGUGCAGAUCUCUUGCCUUACUGACCUAAACCUCUCUCCACAACUACCAAUGCAACUUUCAAUGUGUGAGACUUCGUGUAAAGUUUCAGAUGGAGAUCAGCAUACGUCACCCCAAAAUCAAGAAAUUCUUAUGCCACCAGAGGCAGGAAAGUCAUCAUUCUCACUGCAGUCCUCACUCUACCAUCUAAAGAUUCUUCAAACCCAACACCUAGAAACCUCAACUGACAGCCCUCUGAACUGGUGGUAUAUGGUCUACUUACUAGAACCAUUAUUUUUUUGGUUUUAUAUUGUUUCCUUAGAAAUGACUGUCAUUAAAUGCCUGAUUGCUCAUACCCUGUACAAGCCUAACUUAGGUGGCCUUCAAUUUUUCAAGGAAAUUUCCACUUGCAAAGGUGUUUCCCUCUCCUAUGCACAGAACAAGAGAACUACAGAGACAAUCUCCUCACCUGGGAUGACUUGAAACUGCAUAAAAACCUUAUAAAAUAACCUCUAUUUACCAUAAUUUUCUAUUCACUUUCCAACAAUUUACUAAUUCCCCUUUUUCUUUGCCUAGUUUCUUCUCAAUUCAUCAUCUUUUUUAAAAUGGCAGAUAAAAUCCUCAGACCAACUGCACCUCCUGGGUUUCUCUUCUUUUCUGAGAAGUCUCUGUACACAUGCAAAAUAAACUUUUUCUCUUGUUAAUCCAUCUUUUGUGACUUUAAUUCACAUGCCCCGGUCACUAAACAUAAGAGAGCAGAGGAAGUUUUUUCUUCUCCUAAAUUUAUAAGUGCUUUGGAUUUGGAUCAGGGCUUUGGAUUUUAACUUAUCAAGGAUAUACCAACGCACCACUGGAUAUACAUGUAACAUUAAAAAGGUGAAAUUAAAAGCCCUGGAAUACUCAAUUAGAAGUAUUAAUUUAUGUGGUAUUUUUUGUCAUGUGUGUGCACACGUGUGCCUGUGUGCAUUUGUGUGUCUUUGUUUAUUUCCUAACUCUGUCCCUGAAAAAGCCUAGCCAAGAUUACUAGAGUGAUGUCUAAAGGAUUUAAAGGCAAACUGGAAAGGCUCAGGUCAAAA